GACGAACGCUGGCGGCGUGCUUAACACAUGCAAGUCGAACGGAAAGGCCCUGCUUUUGUGGGGUGCUCGAGUGGCGAACGGGUGAGUAACACGUGAGUAACCUGCCCUUGACUUUGGGAUAACUUCAGGAAACUGGGGCUAAUACCGGAUAGGAGCUCCUGCUGCAUGGUGGUUGGAAAGUUUCGGCGGUUGGGGAUGGACUCGCGGCUUAUCAGCUUGUUGGUGGGGUAGUGGCUUACCAAGGCUUUGACGGGUAGCCGGCCUGAGAGGGUGACCGGCCACAUUGGGACUGAGAUACGGCCCAGACUCCUACGGGAGGCAGCAGUGGGGAAUAUUGCACAAUGGGCGGAAGCCUGAUGCAGCAACGCCGCGUGCGGGAUGACGGCCUUCGGGUUGUAAACCGCUUUCGCCUGUGACGAAGCGUGAGUGACGGUAAUGGGUAAAGAAGCACCGGCUAACUACGUG
rnacentral:rRNA from 1 species